ensembl:lncRNA
AUGUUAACACUUACUCUGCUCCCCUCCUCCAGCAACUCAGUAAUGGAGAGCCCCUUUGAGGUGUCCCAGAUGGGUGCCCCCAAGCCAUCUGUGCCCCCCAAACCUCUGCUCACUCCCAAGCCCUUCUCCCUGCAGAAGAACACCACCAUUCGCUCCAUCAAUGCCCCAAAGGCGGCUGGUGUAGCCUCUAGGACAACGACACAGCGUACCGAUAAAUCUAAGGCCAAACCGCCCGCCUCCCCCCCGGCUCAGAAACCCCCUCAAAAAACCCUCGCCUCAGAUUCCCAAGCCAGCCCUGUGAGUGUGCUCACGGAAGAACUGCCCAAAACAGCCAGGGAGAGCAAAGCAAGCCCAGAUGGAGAGGACACUCCCGAUUCUGGUGUAGGAAAAUCUGAUCCAGUCACACAAGCCGCUCCACCAAAAGAGACACCCAAGUCCGAGUCAAUCCGUAAAGAUGAUGUCAACCAAGCAGACCGAAGUAAUGUUGUAAACACACCACAGAUAGACGGAAAAAAGACAGAAGACGAGGCUCAGACUUCUGCCGUCCAAAAUAUUCCAGAUUCGGGAAGCAACGCUUCUUCUGCAGACAAUGCGGAGAAUCGAUGGGGCGGCAGCAGGAAGCGGCUGUCCGUGAAGCUCACCUCAAAGUUUGAGUCAGUUGGCGUGUCUCUGCCCCCCCAGCCAACCAUCCCUGCAACCAGCACCAAAGGUGAUGCGAACAAACCAGAGGCCCCGGAACCAGAGGCCCCGGAACCUGAGCCGGGCCGCACAACACCGAAGCCCUCAGAUAGAGAGAUUGACGAAGGUGCACCGAAGGAGGAAUACAGUGGAGGAGGCAGUAUAAAACGCAGAAUCAGUCGCCUGUUUGACUCGUCGUCGAGGCCAGAACCCAUGACGAAGAGAGACGAGCCAGAGGCUGUAAAUAGUGUGGGAGGUGUGAAGGGUGUAAAGGAGAGAAUGAAAAUCUGGGCCGCAGAAACGACCCCUGACGAUCCGAAGGCUGAGAAGCCGCCUCCGGUUGCACCCCGAAGUCGCUCAAAGAGAUUACAACCAGCAACAGCUCCAACAGCGGUGAAAACACCCGAAAUACCAACUGUUGAACCUCCCGUAACAGGGACGCCGUCCAGCCAGGCCGUGCCUCUUCCCUCAAAGGUGUCCCCUGCUGAACCACCCACCGACAUCCCAAUGCAGACAAACAAAGACGCUGCCGCUGACGAUAAAUUCCCGGAAAGCUGGAGAGUAGAACGUAUGCAAAACCGAUCGACAGAGGUUGAUGUACAGCUACGCAAACGUAGCUCAUUCAAAACCCCCACCGUGGCUGAUGAGGGAGACUCUGCAGAGAGUGCUGAACACGCUCCAAAGAGGGACAACGGCAAACGGCGAUCCGUCCGCUUUAGUGUCGUGGAGAGAGACGACGGCGGGCCGCCGACGUUCCUGGGCUCCGCGUCUGAAUCCAGCGACGAAGAAGGAGAGGCUUCUGAGGCCGAAGCUGAGGAGGAGAUCCCCGUUUCGGUGCCCGUCUACAGACGAGUGGGAGGUCUUCAGAGGAAAGAUGAUGAUGAUGAUGAUGAUGAUGACAAAGAAGAGGGACGACUGAAACAUUUGGAAUUUGAAAGAAGGCGCCGAUCAGAGGAGCACGAUCAGCCACAACUCAAGAUGGAAGACGAGCUGAAACGAAAAGAAGAAGAAAAAGUAGAAGAAAGGGAGGAAGAAAAGGCUAGGCAGAAGAAAGAGGAGGAAAGGAAAAGAGACAGUCUGAAGGAGGAGCGCAUAGAGAGACAGAAGAGGCAGGAAUGGGAGAGAGAACAGUUGAUAGAAGAGGAGAGGAAACGGGAAAGGCUGAGAGAGGAAGAGAUGGAGAGGGAAAAGCAGAUGGAGAUGCUGCUGCAGAGACAGAGAGAAGAGGAAAGAGAGAGGGCAAAGCAGAAAGAGCUGAGACUUCAACACGAUCAGGAGGAGAGUGAAAAAGAAAGGCUGAAGGAGGCGCAAAGGGAAGAGGAGAGACUGAGGCAGGAAAGAGAAAAACAAAAGUUUAGCGAGGAGGCGAUUAACGAAGAGAAAAAACGAGAGGACGAGUGGGAAAAAGAGCAGGUGGNNNNNNNNNNAAAAGACAGAGAGACUGAGGGGAGAAGAGGAGAAGGGAGGAGAGAAUGGGGUGGAGCUGGUGGAGCAGAGACAGAAAGAGGAAAGACUGAGGAGAAGAGAGGAGAAGGAGAUUUUGGUUCGCAACUAUGCGGAUUACCAAAUGGAGGGAAAACUGAGAGAGACUGA